CAGUAGCCGCGGUAAUACGAAGGGUGCAAGCGUUACUCGGAAUUACUGGGCGUAAAGCGUGCGUAGGUGGUGGUUUAAGUCCGUUGUGAAAGCCCUGGGCUCAACCUGGGAAUUGCAGUGGAUACUGGGUCACUAGAGUGUGGUAGAGGAUAGUGGAAUUUCCGGUGUAGCAGUGAAAUGCGUAGAGAUCUGGAGGAAUACCGAUGGCGAAGGCAGCCAUCUGGCCUAAUACUGACGCUGAGGUACGAAAGCAUGGGGAGCAAACAGGAUUAGAUACCCCAGUAGUCCCUGUCUCUUAUAA
rnacentral:rRNA from 1 species